rnacentral:lncRNA from 1 species
AAUUUUGUCUGAGGCAACAGCAUGAUAGGAUUUUGUUUUGUGUUUUAAGGACAAUGACUCUACUAUUUGUACAUAUGAAAACAGGCGGGGGAUUGAAGAGAAGAGGACCAGCCAAAGUUACAUAUAUGGUCAAUGCACAGAAAGAAAUCUGUCUCCUGACUUUAGGACAAUGGCACGAUUGGUGGCCACAGUCCAAGGAUGGUUGCUGGUGAGCAGUUACAGAUGCCCCAAGACACAGCAGGCGUGCUGUCUGUCUUCAGUGAUCAUAACUGUUAUGUAAGCUGUCUGACUGUUCUGAGCUCAUGAUGUUGCAAGGAAGUUCAAAUUAUUCCACAUUAAAAAAGAAAACCCACAAUGGCUCUAAGACUACAUUAAGAAAAAAGGAUGCCCAGCUCUCUCCCACCUGCUCUUCUAGCUCCAGCCGCCAUCUGAUGUAAUCACAUGUAAGAUGCAAAGUCAGAACCACCGAUCAAAGUCUAUCUUGAAUUAUUCUAACACAGUAUCUGUGAGAUAGAAUAGUUUUUGUUCAUUUUAGCCAAUAGAUUUUGAGAUAAUUUGUUAUCUAUCUAUUGCUACUCUGAAUAUUAAGUUCUGUAUUUCCUUGUACACCCACUUUAUUUACAAAACCUUAAAUCUUGAUAAAGCCUUUACAUACUACUUACAGUUUGC